rnacentral:rRNA from 1 species
UACGUAGGGGGCAAGCGUUGUCCGGAAUCAUUGGGCGUAAAGCGCGUGUAGGCGGCCCGGUAAGUCCGCUGUGAAAUUCCGAGGCUCAACCUCGGCAGGUCGUUGGAAACCAUAUGGCUAGAGUCCGGAAGAGGAGAGUGGAAUUCCUGGUGUAGCGGUGAAAUGCGCAGAUAUCGAGAGGAACACCUGCGGCGAAGGCGGGUAGCUGGGCCGACACUGACGCUGAGACGCGAAAGCGUGGGGAGCGAACAGG